GGGGACUAUGUCAAAUACUUCUAUGUGUCCCUGAAAGGGAUUUGUACUGUCAGUAGGAAAAAUAAUAUUGUUAAUUGCUUUAAAUGGUUUUCUUUCAUGAAAUCCUUAAUUGACUGUAAGGUUAUCACUAAUUGAGACUGCUCUUCUAAUUGGUCUUUUUUUCCCCAACCUUUUUAGUCUGGUUUCUGGAGAGAUGAUGAGUCCUGUGGACCCAAGUGGAAGGUGAAUCCUGUCACUGUCACCCUCUGCUCUCAUAUGGAGCAUCCUUAUUCUGUAGAAAUGCACCUCGAUAAAGUAACUUUCUUCCCUUUGGAGAUGUCCCCUUGAAGAAAAUGUGGAAUUUAUCUUCUCAUAAGAAAUUAGGAAUCAGAAGAUCAAGGAUCUCUUCUUUUUCAAACUUCUGACAAUUCUGCAUCUUAGACUAUGUGUCUGUAUGAGGUAUUUGUAGAAAUGGUGUGGAAAUACAACUCCCUCAUUUUAUAGAUAUCAAAUCCAUUGAAUCUUGAGAUUUCUCCAGUUUGGAGGAAAGGAGAUGGAGGUCAUACUUUCAGCAAGGAGGACAGUGCCCUGCACAUAGUAGGGCUUAAUAAAUGCUUGUUGAUUGGUUGAUCA
rnacentral:lncRNA from 1 species